AUUGAACGCUGGCGGCAGGCCUAACACAUGCAAGUCGAGCGGAUGAAGGGAGCUUGCUCCUGGAUUCAGCGGCGGACGGGUGAGUAAUGCCUAGGAAUCUGCCUGGUAGUGGGGGAUAACGUCCGGAAACGGGCGCUAAUACCGCAUACGUCCUGAGGGAGAAAGUGGGGGAUCUUCGGACCUCACGCUAUCAGAUGAGCCUAGGUCGGAUUAGCUAGUUGGUGGGGUAAAGGCCUACCAAGGCGACGAUCCGUAACUGGUCUGAGAGGAUGAUCAGUCACACUGGAACUGAGACACGGUCCAGACUCCUAAGGGAGGCAGCAGUGGGGAAUAUUGGACAAUGGGCGAAAGCCUGAUCCAGCCAUGCCGCGUGUGUGAAGAAGGUCUUCGGAUUGUAAAGAACUUUAAGUUGGGAGGAAGGGCAGUAAGUUAAGACCUUGCUGUUUUGACGUUACCAACAGAAUAAGCACCGGCUAACUUCGUG
rnacentral:rRNA from 1 species